rnacentral:rRNA from 1 species
UGGGGAAUAUUGCACAAUGGGGGAAACCCUGAUGCAGCGACGCCGCGUGAGCGAUGAAGGCUUUCGAGUCGUAAAGCUCUGUCCUAUGGGAAGAUAAUGACGGUACCAUAGAAGAAAGCCCCGGCUAAUUACGUGCCAGCAGCCGCGGUAAUACGUAAGGGGCGAGCGUUGUCCGGAAUUAUUGGGCGUAAAGAGUGCGUAGGCGGCAAAUUAAGUCAGAUGUGAAAACUAAGGGCUCAACCCAUAGAUUGCAUCUGAAUCUGAUAUGCUUGAGUCAAGGAGAGGAAAGUGGAAUUCCUAGUGAAGCGGUGGAAUGCGUAGCUAUUAGGAGGAAUACCGGUGGCGAAGGCGACUUUCUGGACUUGAACUGAAGCUGAGGCACGAAAGCGUGGGGAGCGAACAGG